rnacentral:rRNA from 1 species
AUUGAACGCUGGCGGCAUGCCUUACACAUGCAAGUCGAACGGUAACAGGUUAAGCUGACGAGUGGCGAACGGGUGAGUAAUGUAUCGGAACGUGCCCAGUCGUGGGGGAUAACUGCUCGAAAGAGCAGCUAAUACCGCAUACGACCUGAGGGUGAAAGCGGUGGAUCUCAAGACCUCGCGCGAUUGGAGCGUCCGAUAUCAGAUUAGGUAGUUGGUGAGGUAAAGGCUCACCAAGCCGACGAUCUGUAGCUGGUCUGAGAGGACGAGCAGCCACACUGGGACUGAGACACGGCCCAGACUCCUACGGGAGGCAGCAGUGGGGAAUUUUGGACAAUGGGCGCAAGCCUGAUCCAGCCAUGCCGCGUGCGGGAAGAAGGCCUUCGGGUUGUAAACCGCUUUUGUCAGGGAAGAAAAGGUUCUGGCUAAUACCUGGGACUCAUGACGGUACCUGAAGAAUAAGCACCGGCUAACUACGUG